CGCAGUCUGCAACUCGACUGCGUGAAGCUGGAAUCGCUAGUAAUCGCGCAUCAGCCAUGGCGCGGUGAAUACGUUCCCGGGUCUUGUACACACCGCCCGUCACACCACGAGAGUUUACAACACCCGAAGUCAGUGGCCUAACCGCAAGGAGGGAGCUGCCUAAGGUGGGGUAGAUGAUUGGGGUGAAGUCGUAACAAGGUACC
rnacentral:rRNA from 1 species